rnacentral:rRNA from 1 species
UACGGAGGGGGGCGAGUGUUGUUCGGAAUUAUUGGGCGUAAAGGGCGCGCAGGCGGCUUGGCAAGUCGCGUGUGAAAGCCCCCGGCUCAACUGGGGAGGGUCACGCGAUACUGAUCGACUCGAAGGCAGGAGAGGGAAGUGGAAUUCCCGGUGUAGUGGUGAAAUGCGUAGAGAUCAGGCGGAACACCUGGGGCGAAGGCGGCCAGCUGGGCCGUCCCUGACGCUGAGGCGCGAAGGCGUGGGGAGCGAACGGG